rnacentral:rRNA from 1 species
UAGCAUGGGGGGGGGCUAUAAUGCAGUCGAACGAACUUCCGUUAAUUGAUUAUGACGUGCUUGCACUGAAUGAGAUUUUAACACGAAGUGAGUGGCGGACGGGUGAGUAACACGUGGGUAACCUGCCCAGAAGCAGGGGAUAACACCUGGAAACAGAUGCUAAUACCGUAUAACAGAGAAAACCGCCUGGUUUUCUUUUAAAAGAUGGCUCUGCUAUCACUUCUGGAUGGACCCGCGGCGCAUUAGCUAGUUGGUGAGGUAACGGCUCACCAAGGCGAUGAUGCGUAGCCGACCUGAGAGGGUAAUCGGCCACAUUGGGACUGAGACACGGCCCAGACUCCUACGGGAGGCAGCAGUAGGGAAUCUUCCACAAUGGACGCAAGUCUGAUGGAGCAACGCCGCGUGAGUGAAGAAGGGUUUCGGCUCGUAAAGCUCUGUUGUUAAAGAAGAACGUGGGUGAGAGUAACUGUUCACCCAGUGACGGUAUUUAACCAGAAAGCCACGGCUAACUACGUGCCAGCAGCCGCGGUAAUACGUAGGUGGCAAGCGUUAUCCGGAUUUAUUGGGCGUAAAGCGAGCGCAGGCGGUCUUUUAAGUCUAAUGUGAAAGCCUUCGGCUCAACCGAAGAAGUGCAUUGGAAACUGGGAGACUUGAGUGCAGAAGAGGACAGUGGAACUCCAUGUGUAGCGGUGAAAUGCGUAGAUAUAUGGAAGAACACCAGUGGCGAAGGCGGCUGUCUGGUCUGUAACUGACGCUGAGGCUCGAAAGCAUGGGUAGCGAACAGGGAUUAGAUACCCUGGUAGUCCAUGCCGUAAACGAUGAUUACUAAGUGUUGGAGGUGUUUCCGCCCUUCAGUGCUGCAUCUAACGCAUUAAAUAAUCCGCCUGGGGAGUACUACCGAUAGGUUGAAACUCAAAAGAAUUGACGGGGGCCCGCACAAUCUGGUGGAUCUUUGUGUUUUAUUCUGUAGCUACCCGAAGAAACCCUAACAG